rnacentral:lncRNA from 1 species
UGUUACUGUAGACUGUAGUCGAACUAGUCGAGUAGUCGAGUCGGAACGUUAACGUUGCCAGUCGCCGGUGAGACGCGAGCCGGCGCGCGCCGUAUGCGCUAGACUGUCGCGCGUGACGUCACAACACGAAAAAUCAAUGGUUCCCCUUCGUCCCUAAGGUUAACCGCAUACCGCAUUUUUAUCAAAGGAAAAUGUGACCUAUGCCAGUGAAGUGCUAAAAACUACAGUACAAUACAUGACGAGAUACGAACGCUGCACGAAUGUGAACGGUUUACUUUCAUAAUUAUGUGUGAAAACAAAUCAAUAUACGUACAACCUAAGUGAUGAGUAAUUAUGUGCAAUUAAUAAAAAGAAAAGUUAUAAAUGACCACAAUAAAGAGACAAACUGUGUGAUGUGACCAGUGACAUAACUGCAGUUCCUAAAGACAAUAUGAAUAUUUACAACUGAUAUAAUGUUAAUUUAAUGAAGAUCCUCAAGAUGGGGGCACAUGGGUCCAAAGAGAAACUUUACAGAAGUGGUUCAGAAAAGUAUCCGUCCAAACUACCAGUUCCUAGUGAUAAGGCAGACAAAAAGUAUAAGUUAGCAGUUAAUAGAGAAAGAUUUGGAUCUUUUGGUGCUAGAGGUAAG